AUCCAGUUGACGAGACAGUCCCAAAUAGGACGAAAUGCGCAUCCUGGAU
rnacentral:hammerhead_ribozyme from 1 species